rnacentral:rRNA from 2 species
AGGAUGCUUUUGGCGCGGUGCCUUCCGAGUUCCCUGGAACGGGACGCCAUAGAGGGUGAGAGCCCCGUCUGGUCGGACGCCUAGCCUGUGUAAAGCUCCUUCGACGAGUCGAGUAGUUUGGGAAUGCUGCUCUAAAUGGGAGGUAUAUGUCUUCUAAAGCUAAAUACCGGCCAGAGACCGAUAGCGCACAAGUAGAGUGAUCGAAAGAUGAAAAGCACUUUGAAAAGAGGGUUAAAUAGUACGUGAAAUUGUUGAAAGGGAAGCGCUUGUGACCAGACUUGGGCCCGGUGGAUCAUCCAGCGUUCUCGCUGGUGCACUCCGCCGGGUUCAGGCCAGCAUCAGUUCGCCGCGGGGGAAAAAGGCUUCGGGAACGUGGCUCCUACGGGAGUGUUAUAGCCCGUUGCAUAAUACCCUGGGGCGGACUGAGGUUCGCGC